UACGAAGGGUGCUAGCGUUGUUCGGAAUGACUGGGCGUAAAGGGUGCGUAGGCGGCCGAAUGCGUCUGAUGUGAAAUCCCUGGGCUUAACCUAGGAACUGCAUUGGAUACGGUUUGGCUAGAGACCGAGAGAGGAAGAUGGAAUUGUGCGUGUAGAGGUGAAAUUCGUAGAUAUGCACAAGAACACCGGUGGCGAAGGCGAUCUUCUGGAGCGGUACUGACGCUAAGGCACGAAAGCGUGGGGAGCAAACAGG
rnacentral:rRNA from 1 species